AUUGAACGCUGGCGGCAUGCCUUACACAUGCAAGUCGAACGGUAACAGGUUAAGCUGACGAGUGGCGAACGGGUGAGUAAUGUAUCGGAACGUGCCCAGUCGUGGGGGAUAACUGCUCGAAAGAGCAGCUAAUACCGCAUACGACCUGAGGGUGAAAGCGGGGGAUCGCAAGACCUCGCGCGAUUGGAGCGGCCGAUAUCAGAUUAGGUAGUUGGUGAGGUAAAGGCUCACCAAGCCGACGACCUGUAGCUGGUCUGAGAGGACGACCAGCCCCACUGGGACUGAGACACGGCCCAGACUCCUACGGGAGGCAGCAGUGGGGAAUUUUGGACAAUGGGCGCAAGCCUGAUCCAGCCAUGCCGCGUGCGGGAAGAAGGCCUUCGGGUUGUAAACCGCUUUUGUCAGGGAAGAAAAGGUUCUGGCUAAUACCUGGGACUCAUGACGGUACCUGAAGAAUAAGCACCGGCUAACUACGUGCCAGCCGCCGCGGUAA
rnacentral:rRNA from 1 species